rnacentral:rRNA from 1 species
CCUACGGGAGGCAGCAGUGAGGAAUAUUGGUCAAUGGGCGCGAGCCUGAACCAGCCAAGUCGCGUGAGGGAAGACGGCCCUACGGGUUGUAAACCUCUUUUGCCGGGGAGCAACGGGCGCCACGUGUGGCGCCACUGAGAGUACCCGGAGAAAAAGCAUCGGCUAACUCCGUGCCAGCAGCCGCGGUAAUACGGAGGAUGCGAGCGUUAUCCGGAUUUAUUGGGUUUAAAGGGUGCGUAGGUGGUUAAUUAAGUCAGCGGUGAAAGUUUGUGGCUCAACCAUAAAAUUGCCGUUGAAACUGGUUGACUUGAGUAUAUUUGAGGUAGGCGGAAUUCGUGGUGUAGCGGUGAAAUGCAUAGAUAUCACGAAGAACUCCGAUUGCGAAGGCAGCAUACCGGCUCCAUACUGACGCUGAGGCACGAAAGCGUGGGGAUCGAACAGGAUUAGAUACCCGUGUAGU